UUGAACGCUGGCGGCAGGCCUAACACAUGCAAGUCGAACGGUAACAGGAAACAGCUUGCUGUUUCGCUGACGAGUGGCGGACGGGUGAGUAAUGUCUGGGAAACUGCCUGAUGGAGGGGGAUAACUACUGGAAACGGUAGCUAAUACCGCAUAACGUCGCAAGACCAAAGAGGGGGACCUUCGGGCCUCUUGCCAUCGGAUGUGCCCAGAUGGGAUUAGCUUGUUGGUGGGGUAACGGCUCACCAAGGCGACGAUCCCUAGCUGGUCUGAGAGGAUGACCAGCCACACUGGAACUGAGACACGGUCCAGACUCCUACGGGAGGCAGCAGUGGGGAAUAUUGCACAAUGGGCGCAAGCCUGAUGCAGCCAUGCCGCGUGUAUGAAGAAGGCCUUCGGGUUGUAAAGUACUUUCAGCGGGGAGGAAGGGAGUAAAGUUAAUACCUUUGCUCAUUGACGUUACCCGCAGAAGAAGCACCGGCUAACUCCGUGCCAGCAGCCGCGGUAAUACGGAGGGUGCAAGCGUUAAUCGGAAUUACUGGGCGUAAAGCGCACGCAGGCGGUUUGUUAAGUCAGAUGUGAAAUCCCCGGGCUCAACCUGGGAACUGCAUCUGAUACUGGCAAGCUUGAGUCUCGUAGAGGGGGGUAGAAUUCCAGGUGUAGCGGUGAAAUGCGUAGAGAUCUGGAGGAAUACCGGUGGCGAAGGCGGCCCCCUGGACGAAGACUGACGCUCAGGUGCGAAAGCGUGGGGAGCAAACAGGAUUAGAUACCCUGGUAGUCCACGCCGUAAACGAUGUCGACUUGGAGGUUGUGCCCUUGAGGCGUGGCUUCCGGAGCUAACGCGUUAAGUCGACCGCCUGGGGAGUACGGCCGCAAGGUUAAAACUCAAAUGAAUUGACGGGGGCCCGCACAAGCGGUGGAGCAUGUGGUUUAAUUCGAUGCAACGCGAAGAACCUUACCUGGUCUUGACAUCCACGGAAGUUUUCAGAGAUGAGAAUGUGCCUUCGGGAACCGUGAGACAGGUGCUGCAUGGCUGUCGUCAGCUCGUGUUGUGAAAUGUUGGGUUAAGUCCCGCAACGAGCGCAACCCUUAUCCUUUGUUGCCAGCGGUCCGGCCGGGAACUCAAAGGAGACUGCCAGUGAUAAACUGGAGGAAGGUGGGGAUGACGUCAAAUCAUCAUGCCCCUUAUGAGCAGGGCUACACACGUGCUACAAUGGCGCAUACAAAGAGAAGCGACCUCGCGAGAGCAAGCGGACCUCAUAAAGUGCGUCGUAGUCCGGAUUGGAGUCUGCAACUCGACUCCAUGAAGUCGGAAUCGCUAGUAAUCGUGGAUCAGAAUGCCACGGUGAAUACGUUCCCGGGCCUUGUACACACCGCCCGUCACACCAUGGGAGUGGGUUGCAAAAGAAGUAGGUAGCUUAACCUUCGGGAGGGCGCUUACCACUUUGUGAUUCAUGACUGGGGUG
rnacentral:rRNA from 1 species